UCUGCAGAUCUCCUCUGCUGCAGUGACAGACUCUGCUCUGUACUACUGUGCUGUGAGGCCCACAGUGACAGCAAACCCACAGUCUCUGUACAAAAACACAAGCUGACACACUGACAAGCUGCUGGAAGCCUUUUUUCCACACUGUUGUACUGAAGUUUUGACCUCCACUAGAGGGCGACAUUAUCAAGUAGGCGGUGCACUACUUCUGCACUGUGUUCAACCAUUGCGUCAAUAAUAACUGCUGCUGUGAAGAGAACAAUUCUCAGACUGAAUGUUGAACAGCAGCUAGUUUCUCCUGUUGAUUUAAACCUUGUUGUAGAGAUGGAACAUUGGCUGUGGAUUAUUCUUGCUGCUCUUUUCUUUGAGUGUAAAGGAGAAGACAGAGUGAUCCAGCCAACAAGAGAUGUCAUUGCUACUGAAGGAGACACAGUUACACUUGGCUGUACAUUUGAGUCAAGUGACCUAUAUUCCUAUCUGUUCUGGUACAAACAAGAAAUAAAUGAUUUCCCAAAGUACAUGCUGCAACGGUACUCUGGAAACAAAGAUAAUCCUUUAGAGGAAAAGAGAAUUGAUGCUAAAAUCAACGGGACAUCAGUUCCUCUGAAGAUCCAGAAGCUUCAGCUGUAUGAUUCUGCUGUGUACUACUGUGCUCUGCAGCCCACAGUGACAGGAAACACCAAGACUCUGUACAAAAACCUUUGGAGCAAAGACAACAGAAUACUCCACAACGUCCACUAGAGGGAGUCACACACUGUUAACCUUCAGUGAUAUGUGAUGAUACAGUCUAGAAUCAUGAACACCUCCCCCACAAGAUGUUCCCUCAGUCUCACUGAGAUCAGACAGACCUGAGUACAGCAGGUAGAGAGAAACACAAACUAAAGGACAGACAGCAUCAGAGACAGACGUCACUACACAGAUCUGAAGAUGAAAGUUUAUAUUAUAUCAUCUGG